rnacentral:rRNA from 1 species
GUAGGUGGCAAGCGUUGUCCGGAAUUAUUGGGCGUAAAGCGCGCGCAGGCGGUCCUUUAAGUCUGAUGUGAAAGCCCACGGCUCAACCGUGGAGGGUCAUUGGAAACUGGGGGACUUGAGUACAGAAGAGGAAAGCGGAAUUCCAAGUGUAGCGGUGAAAUGCGUAGAGAUUUGGAGGAACACCAGUGGCGAAGGCGGCUUUCUGGUCUGUAACUGACGCCGAGGCGCGAAAGCGUGGGGAGCAAACAGGAUUAGAUACCCUGGUAGUCCACGCCGUAAACGAUGAGUGCUAAGUGUUAGGGGGUUUCCGCCCCUUAGUGCUGCAGCUAACGCAUUAAGCACUCCGCCUGGGGAGUACGGCCGCAAGGCUG